UAUAUAUAUAUAUAUAUAUAUACUUAGACAUAGUUCAAAAUAAAUAAAAAAUAAGAUCAAAUAUCAUCAUUAAUUUACCAUAGCCUAGCUCUCUUACUAUCAGAAUCCCCACAAAACCCCAGGCAACAUUCAUGUGAACCUCAAGUGCUAUCAAUUCGACUACAACAACCUUUUCUGAUACUAUCACCAAUCGAUAACCCUCAAAUCCAUGCCCUACCUUUACUUGUGCUAAUGUAGUAACUAGUAAGCAAAAUUGUCAAGACAUUUAACACACAGGAUCGCUAACUUCUUUAACAAUACUAUAACCAAACUGAAGAACUCAAACAAAAUAGGAUCAACGAGUAUUAACACCAUUCCAGCUACAUCUACGGCCUCUUUUACUCGCAGCAUGGUUUGAACAUGUCGAACCCAUAGAAUGAUUCAAAUAAAUUAAAAACAGGUGAACGAAAGAGAGAGAUACUGCAACAGAAUUCUUCAGUUUUUCUUCUUCAAAACACCACAUGGGUUGGCCUUUACAUUUUGAGAUAAAAGAGUAAGUUCCUGGAUAUGACACAACAGAAUCAGAAGUUGAUUUAGAGAUUCAGAAGGAGCAGCAACAACAGUACGCAACAGAAGCAGUAAUUCAGCAGAAAUCAACUUGAACCAAUCAAUGAAACAGUGUUUUGAAACAAGAAACCCAGACCCGCCUUUACAAUACUUCAAAUUCGACUUAUUCUAAACCAGAUUUAGCUAUUGAUACCAAAUCAAAAUACCCUCAAAUUCCAGUGAAUCAGAACAUACUUCAGCAAUUAAACCUUCAGGAGUUAUAAGAAAAACAAUUUGAUGGAACAGUACUUAUUUUGAUCUUUUAGCCGUCUGAAGUUUUUCGGAUUUUUAGCUCUCCUUUUUUGAAUGCUCCCUUCUUCUUGCCUUGAAAGGCAAGAAUGAUAUCUUAUAUAUGCUUAGCAAUAGGGAAAAACUUCAGAUUUCAUUUUUCACCCUUUUGCCCCCUUUAAUUCUUGUUUUAGCCUAGGGACCCCUGGAUUCUUAACUUGUUCCCCAAGUUCCAUUACUUAAAAGUCUGAAAUUCCAAUCCCAC
rnacentral:lncRNA from 1 species